ACUUGUUCCUACAACCUGGUCAUUUGUUCUUCAAUGGGAUGGAAACAUUCAUAUGUCCGAAUAACUGCGGUCGCAAGUACAGAUACAUGAAAUGCUUGAAGAGACACUUGAGAUACGAAUGCGGUACAAAACCUCAAUUCAAAUGCGAAAUAUGUGGCAGAAAAUUCAACCAUAAUGUUACGUUGAGAACACAUCUAGGAUUGGUUCACAAGAUGACCGUUGAUAAAAGAUGAUAAUAAACGAUUUGAAUUUCUAAAUCGGAAACUAUACUUUCAUUUUUGUACCUUUGACUUUUGUGAUUCUGUUUCGGGUUAAAUAUUAUUUCAAUUGUUCGGACCAACUUGCUCAGAAACGAUCUGUGACCGGUUUCAUGUGCCCUAAUAACUGCGGACAUAAGUACGAGUAUAAAAGAAACCUACAAAGACAUUUGAGAUACGAAUGCGGAAUCGAACGUAAAUUUAAUUGUACUUUUUGUGGCAGAAAAUUCGCCCAAAAAAUUUCGCUGAAAAAACACGUAUUCUUAAUUCAUAAACUUCAUCCUGAUGUUUGAAAUUUUGUUGUGUAAUGUUAAUUAUCGAAGUACUACCCGUACCAGGAUCCGUCUUCGACUGAAUAUUCCAACAAUACGAAGCCAUUUUCAUGUCCGAAAAAUUGCGGCCGAAAGUACAAAUAUAAAGCUGGCGUUUACCAACAUUUGAAAUUCGAAUGUGGCAAAGAACGCCAAUUCCAGUGCGAAAUUUGCCUUAAAAAGUUCGUUUUUCGAAAUAAUCUCAAGACACAUUGUAUCAAUAAACAUGGAAGUACAUAUUGCUCUAUGGUACUUCAGUGAUGAAUUAGCCAAUUUACUGUGCCCAAAUAAUUGCGGUCGUAAAUAUAAAUACAAGGGGAGUUUGAUACGUCAUUUGAGACUGGAAUGCGGAGUCGAGCCUCAAUUUCAAUGCGACGACUGUGGCAAAAAAUUCGUCCAACGGGUUCAUCUCAAGUCUCAUUGUUUCAGAAGACGUCAUAAUGCUUUACAACUUUGAAUUAGAAAUCAUUAAUAUUAUAAUGUAUUAUGUAUUAUUAUAAAUGUUUGUAUUCUGGAUUUUUUAUUCUCUUGCUUUGGAGUCGAAAUUUCGAGCAUAAUCUCCUCCUCUCAUUUUUUCGGUUGCAAGCUAUUAUAGGUAUUGUAUUAUUUUUUACAAGUCUCCUCUUCGUGAUUAUUCCUUUUAUGAUUUAUAUUCUUGUACAUAAUUCAUAAUUCUCAUUUAAGUGUUUAAUUUGAUUGAUGUUGCGUAAUUAAUAAGUAAUAAUUAGUGCAUCUGUGAUAUCCUACGUUAAUCCUCGUGAAAUUGAAUGAUCUUCUGAAUAGUUAUUAAAAGUAUCUACAAGCUAA